rnacentral:rRNA from 1 species
UACGUAGGGGGCAAGCGUUGUCCGGAAUCAUUGGGCGUAAAGAGCGUGUAGGCGGUCCGGUAAGUCGGCUGUGAAAGUCCAGGGCUCAACCCUGGGAUGCCGGUCGAUACUGCCGGACUAGAGUUCGGAAGAGGCGAGUGGAAUUCCCGGUGUAGCGGUGAAAUGCGCAGAUAUCGGGAGGAACACCGAUGGCGAAGGCGGCUCACUGGCCCGGUACUGACGCUGAGGUGCGAAAGCGUGGGGAGCAAACAGG